UAUUUGUUAUUUUUUGUAAUAAAAAUGAUAAUAAAUCAUUGAACCCUUCUGUCUACUCAACUCAUAAUAAAAUCAAUUUAUUUUAAAUGAAUGUAAUGGAUGUAACACAUCUCAUACUAAGUUUCAACAACGGAUCUCUUGGCUCUCGCAUCGAUGAAGAACGCAGCGAAAUGCGAUAAGUAAUGUGAAUUGCAGAAUUCAGUGAAUCAUCGAAUCUUUGAACGCACCUUGCGCUCCUUGGUAUUCCUUGGAGCAUG
rnacentral:rRNA from 1 species